GACGAACGCUGGCGGCGUGCCUAAUACAUGCAAGUUGAGCGCUGAAGGUUGGUACUUGUACCGACUGGAUGAGCAGCGCACGGGUGAGUAACGCGUGGGGAAUCUGCCUUUGAGCGGGGGACAACAUUUGGAAACGAAUGCUAAUACCGCAUAAAAACUUUAAACACAAGUUUUAAGUUUGAAAGAUGCAAUUGCAUCACUCAAAGAUGAUCCCGCGUUGUAUUAGCUAGUUGGUGAGGUAAAGGCUCACCAAGGCGAUGAUACAUAGCCGACCUGAGAGGGUGAUCGGCCACAUUGGGACUGAGACACGGCCCAAACUCCUACGGGAGGCAGCAGUAGGGAAUCUUCGGCAAGAGACGAAAGUCUGACCGAGCAACGCCGCGUGAGUGAAGAAGGUUUUCGGAUCGUAAAAAUCUGUUGGUAGAGAAGAACGUUGGUGAGAGUGGAAAGCUCAUCAAGUGACGGUAACUACCCAGAAAGGGACGGCUAACUACGUG
rnacentral:rRNA from 1 species